GGUGGAUAUAGCUCAGUCGGUAGAGCAUCUGAUUGUGGUUCAGAAGGUCGCGCGUUCGAGCCGCGUUAUCCACCCCCA
rnacentral:tRNA from 1 species